rnacentral:sRNA from 1 species
CUGCGUCUUGGUGGUAGUGGUCCCCCGGGCCCAGCUGUUUUCUCUUUAUCUCUUUGUCUUGUGUCUUUAUUUCUUACAAUCUCUCCUCUCCGCACAGGGGAAGAACACCCACCCGCAAAGCCCCGUAGGGCUGGACCCUACGUUAGCCUGCCCUGCUCGGGGUUGGCGAUGCUGGAGGUGGGCCUUGGACCAGAGAAAAUGCUUUAAUUAGGUGACAAGCGGGCAGAGGCCUUUGUCUCUGGCGCCGGCAGCCAACGGCCCCCGCUGACGGCGUGGGAAACAGACCCUGUUCCACUCCGGUCUCCAGCCUUGGAAUGGUUGCCUUCGUGCAAUGCAGGAGGACGCGGCAGAGGGCGGACGAUCGCUCCACUCGCCGGGACCAGGUGCGGGGGCCCUGCCCAGCCGCUGGGGCGUGGCCAGGCUCGAAGCACCCAGGUGUCGGGGGCCGACUCUAAGCCCUGGCACCGGAAGAGAGAGGGCGGCGGAUUGCACCUCCCGGCUCCAGCAUUGCAACUGGGCGCUCCGUCUCCUGGUCCACGCAAUGAUGCCGCGGCUGCUCAGAAGCCAGCCAUCCGCCCGGCCCGGGAGGGCGGACGCCGCGAGACUCCCGGCCGCGCCCUCUCCUUCCUCUCCUCCCCAAGCCCUCGCUGCCAGUCCGGACAGGCUGCGCGAAGGGGAGGGC